GGGAAGAGCCCAAACCAACAAGCUUGCUUGUUGGGGUUGUAGGACUCCAAUAUGGUAGUCUGUUAGUAUAGUUGAAGGAUUUGGAAAAUUCCGCUAAAGAGGGUGAAAGCCCCGUAGACGAAAUGCUAGCAACACCUAGGAGGAUCCUGAGUACGGCGGAACACGAGAAAUUCCGUCGGAAUCCGCGGGGACCAUCCCGCAAGGCUAAAUACUC
rnacentral:rRNA from 1 species